UUGCCUUUUAUCAGUUGUUUCAAACUUUAUUUGUCAAGUAUUUUAGGUACACAUUCCUGAAUUUGUACUAUUUCUCCAUAAAAAUGGCUGAAAUCAUGAACGAAUUUGUUUCUGAUGUUCCAUCUCCAUUUAUGUGAAUGUUUUUCUUAAUAAAUUGCUCAUUAGACUUAUAUAUGAUUUUGUUAACGAACCAAAAGGAUGACUGCCCAUUUCAAUUAAGUUUAGACCGUUGGAGUCUUGUUAAAUAUUAGUUAAUUGAGAUUAGUUUUUUUUAUUUUUCGGAGUUGUUAAUGGGCUUUAGGUGUAUGCAUACUAGUUAACAGUAGUAUUUAUCACAGUCUCUACUUUGUUGUCUAAUGCUGAAAUUUGGUGUAUGCAUAUUUUUUAUAGGGAUCUACUCACUUAUGGAUUAAGCUGUUGUUUGAACUUUGAAGCUGCAGAAAUUCAAGCACUGUUAGGCGUUAGUUGCAUGACAAACAUUUUUGUGUAGUUUGCUCACUUAUGGAUUAAUCAUUUUGAAGUAUGUAUUCUGAACUCACUUUGAAUAUAGACUGAAAUUUUAUCAUUUCAGAAUUAAUCAGGGAGCAUUGACUUUUCCUUUGCAGUUGUGGGCGGAGGAAAGACAUAUGUAUUCUGGACUCGUCUGUAAUGUAGUUUGCUUUGGGAUGUAAUGGACUAUCUAUUGUAUUCUAUAGACUGGAAUGUAGUCUGCUGAGCAUAGGAAUUUUAGUUUGAGUCACAAUGGUCAGCAAACAACUAAUGCACGCAAUAUAGAUUGAAUUAGGCC
rnacentral:lncRNA from 1 species